AGAGUUUGAUCAUGGCUCAGGAUGAACGCUGGCGGCGUGCCUAAUACAUGCAAGUCGAGCGAAUGGAUUAAGAGCUUGCUCUUAUGAAGUUAGCGGCGGACGGGUGAGUAACACGUGGGUAACCUGCCCAUAAGACUGGGAUAACUCCGGGAAACCGGGGCUAAUACCGGAUAAUAUUUUGAACUGCAUGGUUCGAAAUUGAAAGGCGGCUUCGGCUGUCACUUAUGGAUGGACCCGCGUCGCAUUAGCUAGUUGGUGAGGUAACGGCUCACCAAGGCAACGAUGCGUAGCCGACCUGAGAGGGUGAUCGGCCACACUGGGACUGAGACACGGCCCAGACUCCUACGGGAGGCAGCAGUAGGGAAUCUUCCGCAAUGGACGAAAGUCUGACGGAGCAACGCCGCGUGAGUGAUGAAGGCUUUCGGGUCGUAAAACUCUGUUGUUAGGGAAGAACAAGUGCUAGUUGAAUAAGCUGGCACCUUGACGGUACCUAACCAGAAAGCCACGGCUAACUACGUGCCAGCAGCCGCGGUAAUACGUAGGUGGCAAGCGUUAUCCGGAAUUAUUGGGCGUAAAGCGCGCGCAGGUGGUUUCUUAAGUCUGAUGUGAAAGCCCACGGCUCAACCGUGGAGGGUCAUUGGAAACUGGGAGACUUGAGUGCAGAAGAGGAAAGUGGAAUUCCAUGUGUAGCGGUGAAAUGCGUAGAGAUAUGGAGGAACACCAGUGGCGAAGGCGACUUUCUGGUCUGUAACUGACACUGAGGCGCGAAAGCGUGGGGAGCAAACAGGAUUAGAUACCCUAGUAGUCC
rnacentral:rRNA from 1 species